ensembl:snoRNA U3 Small nucleolar RNA U3
CAGAAAAUAUAUUCAGCAUAGGAACUGUGAAAAUUUUUUUUUUUUUACUAGAGAAGUUUCUCUGGUCACAUAGAUUCUAGAAACCAUCCGGAGGAAGUGAAGUGUUCCCUUCAGAGCAUGAAGCUGGCUCUUGGUGUUGCUUUGUCACGAUUGACAUCAAUCGUUCUCUACCCUUUGGAAGAGAAAGAGGGAGAGAAUUUUCUGAGGGGG